rnacentral:lncRNA from 1 species
UUAAUGAAGAUACAGGGGGAGAGCAAUGUAAUUUGAAAAAGCACAGACUAAAUCGGUCAGCUUUUUAUUGGUAAUAAUGAAGAGGAAGUUUUUAAUCUGUCUUUGCAGGGGUAUAUGCAAUUUCCUUUCACAUCAGAGCCCCUAAUGCCUCCUUUGUUCUUCUGACAACCUUAGAAAUUCUUCAGCCAGGAGCUAUGUACCCAACAGGCAGACGGCUCAGUCUGUGGAUAUUGUGUAAGUGUCUGGAAUGUACACCUGGUACCUCUCCACUGGUAUCCACAGUUAAACAAAGUAAAUAGAAGAUCUCAAGGAGGAAUAUGAGUCCCAGGAGGCUGGCGGUAUGCAAGAGCUGUUUCAGCUUGAGAUUCUCUUUCAUCUCAAAAGCCAAAAUGUAUCAUUUUCUUCAAAAUUUAAUCAUUCUUUGGAUUGUCCCAUGUUAAUGUAAUCCAUUAAUUAAAAGACUUUAAAAUGUUUACAGUUACUUAGUGAUGUGAAGGUAAUCUUCAGGUUUUCCUUUUGUUCAUUUACUCAACACACACACACACACACACACACACACACACACACACACACACACAGUGCCUUCUUUUUUUUUUAAGAUUUUAUUUAUUCAUGAGAGACAGAGAGAGAGGGAGAGAGAGAAGCAGAGGGAGAAGCAGGCUCCCAAGGAGCAAGGAGCAUGAUGCGGGACUCGAUUCCAGGACCCUGGGAUCAUGACCUGAGCCGAAGGCAGCCGCUUAACCAUCUGAGCCACCCAGGCGCCCUAGGGAGUGCCUUCUGAAUGGAAUUCUUUCUAAUGUGUAUGAAGUCAUUAGUGACAAAAAGUAAUGCUAUAGAAAGGAAUAUCAAGUGACACUUUCAUUUAGAUUGUAAGGUCAGGAAAGGCCUCCCUAUCCACCCACCCACUCAUCCAUCCAUCACUCCAACAGAUACUGCUCAGAUACUUCCCUAACAAAGUGACAUUUAAGCUAAGCUCUGAAGGAUGAGUAGGAAAUAGCCUGGAAAAUAUGUAGGAGAUCAGCUGGAGAAGAGGAAACAACUGUGAGGUAGAAAAGAGCUUGGCACAUAAAAGGAACUGAAACGGGACAAUAUGCUGAGGCUCACUGAGCAAGGGAGAAGAUCUUGGUGAGAGAUGUUGGUGGGGAAGGAGGCAGGGAGGAGGGCCUGUUUGUGAUCUUAUUCUAAGAGGUCAGUAAGAAACGGUGACUAUUUUAUAACUUACCCCAUAGCUGGGGGUAGGGCAGAGAAAAAAAAAAGAGAGGAAGAAGGGUAGUAUUGGAAAGAAAAUAUGAAACUGGUGCCAAACACCAGCCCCUCCUUGUGGAUUGUGAUACACACCCUGAAGCAAGAUGUGACCCCCUCUUACUAACAGACCAGUGUUUUUCAAUCUUGAGAAAUGUACAAAUAGCUUUUGAAGGAAAAUAAAAAUUUAUCUAGACCUCCCUCCC